CGAAACGUGACGGAGCAACGCCGCGUGAGGGAGGAAGGCUCUUGGGUUGUAAACCUCUUUUCUCAAGGAAGAUAAUGACGGUACUUGAUGAAUCAGCAUCGGCUAACUCCGUGCCAGCAGCCGCGGUAAUACGGAGGAUGCAAGCGUUAUCCGGAAUAAUUGGGCGUAAAGCGUUCGUAGGUGGUGAUGUAAGUCUGCUGUUAAAGCGUGUAGCUUAACUACAUAUAGGCGGUGGAAACUACAUGACUAGAGUGCGUUCGGGGCAGAGGGAAUUCCUGGUGUAGCGGUGAAAUGCGUAGAUAUCAGGAAGAACACCGGUGGCGAAGGCGCUCUGCUAGGCUCUAACUGACACUGAGGGACGAAAGCUAGGGACGCG
rnacentral:rRNA from 1 species